GUCCCUGUAGUGCAAUACAUAUCACGUUGGACUUCUAAUCCAAAGGUCGUGGGUUCGAAUCCCACCUGGGGUG